GGUCUUUGAUAACCUUUUUCUGCAAGGAAAAACAGCUCUUAGGUGUAUUUCAGAGCUUUAGUUUUGUUUGGGGAAAACUGGGAAAAGGUUGCAAGCAAGCAAAGCUACAGUUCGGCUAAAAACCAAAACCAAAAUGUCUGUUUCUGUCUCAGACGCGACAUCUUGCAAGAUGAGAGCAGCAGUGAAGACAUGUGAUCAUCCCAUCAAAACGCUCCACGUUUAGAUCUGUUUGAUAAAAGAAAGGGCGUGGAUUCAGGCAGUCACUCGUGCUAGGGUGUGCUAACCCCGUGGUAACGUGCAUACUGAUGAGUGAUGGAUUUAAAAUCAAACCAGAAGCAGUUGAACUUCUGUAGAAGGCCUGUUUGAGGUGGAAGGAUGAUGUAGUGACUUCUUACAAAGGGAGAUCAGAGCAGCUGUUUGCGGCUCUACUGAGGCUCUUUGAUCUGUAGGGGUAUCGCUUGUGGGCAUUCAAUGCAAAUGAAUGGAGUGGAACAGCAACAUGCUCUUGUCUUGGAUUAACCAGCAGAGUCAGAUGACACUGGCGAGCUCCAGCCAGCACUGAACUGUCGGAAGAGACGUCCUUUCCUGCACUGAAUGGGCACAAAAAAGAAGAACAAGCUAAAGAUUUGUGCUCUGCUGAAUAUUAACACGAGAAUGAGCCAAACCCCAAAGCAGGGUGUGUCCCAUCCUCUCUAUGAAUAAACGUCAAAGGAAAGUGUUUCAUGGUCAGCGGAGGUGAAGAUGGAUCAGAAUUCAAGAUGGACAGUAAAGUCUGGCUAAGAGACAUAAAUCAGAUCUCUGAAUAUGAGGAGGGGGGGGGGGGGGGGGAUUGGUAACGGGGCCCUAAACUGAUUUUAAAUGUUCAGUCAAACCUGCUGAACUCCACAGAAGUUAGAUGGACCAAAGCAAAAAUCCAACCUGCAAAUUAGAAGAGAUAUUAACAAUUAUUGAAAAUGUGGCAAAGAUGCAAAAAGGUUGCAUUUACUGUCAAAAAGGGAGCCCCUAUGUUAAUGAAAGCUGAGUUCAUGCGUGCUUAUACCGUUAAAGACAUUCUGUCUUGAAACCACGCCCCAGCCAAGAGACAGAACUCGAACCUCGAGCCUCCAUGUCCCUUUUGUUUACAGGAAGUCCCUCACUCGUCUCAUCUACUCUCUCUUAGGUUCAGCGAGUCCACGCCAGCACCCCUCCUGCAGCCACCACCAGCUACCUGAGCCAGCUCCGCCAGGCUAAAGCAACAGAGCAGCCAGUAACAGCACGUGUGUUUGGAGGAUACGGUUGAUCUGUCGGCUCAACGACCGCAACAAAUACAACAUCUGGUCGAACUGGGCCCAGUUAACAUGGCGCUGCAUGUAAACUCACACCCACGGGAAGCCUCAGCCAUGUCAAAAACAAACCUGUUGCUAGUGGCAACAGCGGAUAGAUUCACCAGAUCCUGCAACACUGCUGUCGGUGUGGAUAUUUCAACCAUCGAAGAGUCUCGUCACGGCCAUCGCAUCAUCUCGUUUUUAUUAAACGUCGUAGUUUUAGGAGCAGGACGCUCCUUUACUUAAUUCAUCUCUCGUCAUUAGAACUCAUUUUUGUUCCGUUUGUUUUGCGACGCCUUUAAGCCCCGGUGCAGAAACUGUUCCAUCAGAUGGUGCAAAGAUGCGUCUUGUUUCAAAUCAAAAUGGGUUCAUUCUGUUAAGUCCAGCCCUGUUGCCAUGGCACCCAAACACACCCCAGAGAUUAAUGAAGAGCUCGUGCCUGGUACUGGUGAUCCACACCGUGUCAGAUCAAGAGCUUUCAGACAGCAACCUUUAGAAAACAAGGAGAAAAAUCUGAACUUUUCACCCCAAAACAGAAAGGAAACAGAUUUUUCUUUGCCCAGAAAAAACGAUUUGUUAAGAAGUGAACAUGUUAAUCUCUGUGUGCGCUGAUUGUAUGUUAAACACGUCUGUUUUUACGGUGAAGGGGCAGAGGUUAGACUUUAUUUACACAUAUAUCAGGAUGAAUAAAGCUUGGCCUGAUGUACUAAUGAAGCACUAACAGCACUCAACUCCAUCCUACUGUGGAGGUAUCUGUGCCGCGGUCGGCUCGUCUGCGUCUGGAUCCUGAAAGAUGCACCACAGGAACACCCAGCCCACGUUACUGUCCAGCCUGCUGAUUCAGGACGCCCCCUCCCACGACCCCGUGUCAGCUGAACGGCCACAUAACAGCCCGUGACAACUUGAAUCAACUCAGAGCACACUGGCGUUGUAAAAAAAAGGUCAGAAAUGUGAUGAGGGAGAAGAUCGGGCAGCGAUACGGACACGCCUGGAGGAAAGAGAAGCUAACCGUUAGAAAAAAGGAACCAAACUGUAGUUUACACUACUGACAGGAAGCUGUUUGAGAUUUAUUUCUGUCUCGUCUAGUUUGUUUGUCAUUAAAAUGAUUAAUCGUGUCUUUGAAUGAUCAGGGCAAACUGAAAACAUGAGUUUUUUUUUUUUUUUUUUUUUUUUUUUUGUAUUUCAGCUAAUUUGUCUGUGUUUUUCGAGUCCACUGUGAGAACUUUUCUCUUUUGGUUUGCAGGCAUGCUCUGCCUCGUGUGUUUAACCUCUGAACAUGUCACUAGGCCCCAAACACAGCCUUCAAAAUAAAGGAACUGGAAUAAAAACGCUUGUGUCUA